UUUUCCGGCGGGGAGUAAGGCAGUCUCUAGAAGUCCUCGUUUCGGCGUCACCUGGCCGGAUGCGAACUCGAGGCGAAGCUGGUGCACCCGCAAGUUAGAGGAAAGUCUGCGGAAGCUCGAGCCUCGGGGCUCGGAGGGAAGGGUGGGGCUGAGCGGAGCUGGCCGCGGUCUGCGGAGGGUGGACUCGGGCUCUCCCCGCGUCCCUCUGGAGGAAGCACCUGAAGCGCGUUUCCCAUGGUCCCGCAGAAAGGCGGCGAGGGCCGCGCUGGGCUCCUGACUUGCAGGCCUCAUGGCGUGCGCUCUGUGCUUCCCUUUUUUGCCUGAAGAAGGGGCUCUGUGAAGGUGGAAGGUUUGUGCAGCCAAAUGGCUGAAAUCUGAUUCCGGAAGUUCCAUUGAUGCUCUUGGAUCUGCAGCCUGCGGGCUGGGUCGAAAAGUACUAGAACGCAGAAGGGAAGGAAUACAACUGUAUUAUGACAAUUACAUGUUAUAUUAGUUAUAUUAGUUAUUUUAUACCAAGUCUUUAUUAGACGGAAGCUGUGAACUGCAGUUGAAGGGAAUGGCCAGGGCGUUGAUUUGACUGGAAACAGUGUUCAAUGAAGGAUUUGAGGGUGGGAGAGAGGAGGUGUUCACAGCGUUGAAUGAAGUUUUAAGAGCUUGAUGUUUGGGUUCAUAUCAGGUCCUACGCAUGUUAUUUAGAGUAACCUUUUUUCCUCAUCUGUCAAACGAGCAUAGGAAUAAUACUUGCCUUAUAGGGUGGUUCUGAGGUAGAAUGAGAUGGCGCUUGUGAAGAUCAGUGUGUUGCGCUCCCGAUAAGUGUCCCCUGCCAUCGAUGUUACACAGGUUUUUAGAUGUCUCACUCAGUACUCAAGACUGUGGCUGGCAUUACCACCCCUGUGGGAGCACGCUUAAAAACCUCAUGUGCCGAGAGAGAAAGUCAUUUACUCCCUGGUGAACGACUUCAGUUUUAAAACAAGGUUUAUUUUACUCCUAGUCUCAUGGUCUUUAUAAUAUACAUUCCCCGCUUCCUACACCCAUUGGGUUUUCUCUGGCACAGUGAAGCAGUUCUAUAUUGUGAAGCUAUACAUUUUGAUAAUCAAACUAUUUGACCUAUUUUCUUAGGUCACAAGGCAUAACUGAGUCUUCUAGUUUUUUCCUGCCUUCUGUAGUGUUGUUUCACUCCAAAGCAUCUCGAUUAGAUGUUAGAAAAGGCAUUUGCCCCUUGGGACUCCAAGUGUAGGUUCCAACUGAUGGAAAUGUGGCCCCUACGCCCACCUUGAAACAAAACCAGAAGUAAAAAGCAGAAGGCCCCAGGAACAGGAAUCACACCUGGAAGAACGUAUUUCGGAACUGAAAAUUCACCCUAGAAUUUCAGCGUGGAAGCAGAAUCCCAGAAAGGAACAUCUUCAGGUGUUACUGGGCCAGAAUUUUCCUCCCCAGAAUGAGCAUAGUCUGGGUGGUAACACCAUUUUCAGAGACCGUUGAUUAUUGUAGCUCAGCAAAGUGUUCAACUUUCAGAAGAAAGAUAUGAGCUGCAAUUGAAGAGAAUGGGCAGGGUGAAGAUUUGACAAGGAAAGACACUUUAUUGGAGGAUUUGUGAGUGUGUGGGUUGUAAGAAAGGGUACCAGGCAUAGCUAUGGAAAUGAUUUCUCAUCACCUCCUAAACACACGUCAUUCCCUACAACCUCCAUUCUAUCUCUGUUUAUUCUGAGCUGCUCAGACCAUGUCCAUCACCACACUUGGGAUUCACUGCAUUACACCGUAACAGAAUCACAUGACGGAGGUCAAGAGAAGUUGUUUUGAACUAUGACUUCUGCCUUAUUUUAAAAUUAGGACUUAGAAGCUAAAUAGCUUAUCCAGUCAUGAAGUUUGCUAGUGAGAGAGCCAGGAACUGAAUUUAGUCUCUUGAUUCCCAGGUCAGGGCUCUGUCCUCGACCACAUUUAAGUUAAAACACGUUUCUUAGCAAAAGGUCCUCUUGAGAAACUUUAAGUAAGGGAGACCAAAAAGAUAAAGAUACUAAAGCACUUUUUUCUGAGCUCCUGGAUUAUCUGAUCUCAAGUGGCUAAAAUAUAGGAAAAUAGGUAACUGACAUAAUAUCAACAUUUGCCCAUGCCAAUAUUUUAAUCCUAAAAUCAAUUUUAAUGCUGCAGUAAUAUUCUAAAUUUUGUAUAUAUUCAGUUUUGUUCACCCAAUCUAUUAUUGGACUCAGGUUAUUUUUCAUUUUUUCAAAGGCAUAUAUUGACAGUACUUCAUAGAGAACAAUUGUUUACAUUCACUCAGUAUGAAAAGUUCUGUGUGACCAUUUCAGAAUUGUAAAUGGACAAGUGGAUAUUCUAUCAACAUGUUUCCUGUACCUUCCAGUACCAGAUUGGUCAAAGGGCCAGCUUCUUAAGUGGGCCAUUUUCUUGGUAGGUAAUUGUAAGAGCUGCUAUGUUAGCCAGAUUUCUCAUGAUUCCAUUUCCCAUUCUUCCUUACCCAGCCCUGGGAUCACCAUUCUUGGCUCUUUUUUUCAAGAGCAUCCGAAAAUGAACAAAUCCCAGAGAUCGGUUUCAUUCAGUGACCUGACUGAGCUCCUAGGAGGAGUGGUAGCACCUGGACCCUGCCAGAGGCUCCUGUGAUGUGAUGUGAUGUGAUGUGAUGUGAUGCUAGAGAACUAUAGCAGCUAGUCUAAGUGGGGUAUCUAUCGUGUUAGGAAACCAAAUGUGAUCUUCAAAUUGGAGCAGGGAGAAGAACCAUGAAUAGUGGAGGAAUUCUCAACCCUGAACUACUCAGGAAAACUUUUCAUGUAAAGACAAGCCUCACUUGACACCAAAGAAUUCAACUGGAGAGAGACCCUGUGGAUGCAAAGAAUGUGGGGAGAGCUUCACUGACAAAUAGCCUUCAUCGUACAUCAGAAAAUCCAUACAGGGGAGAAAUUCUAUGAGCUUAAUGAAUGUGGAAAGACCUUUUUCAGAAGUCAGCCCUCACUGAGCUACAUUACAGGUCGCACAUGGAGAAGAAACCUUAUGAAUGCAAGGGAUGUGAGAACGCCUUCAUCCAGAAAUCUUACCUUGCUAUUCAUCAAAGAACUCACAGAAGAGGGAAACCAAAUGAAUGUAAGGAAUGUGGGAAAACCUGUGAGGCAGCUCUCAAUGUGUAUUGAAGGACUCCUACAGGAGAGAAACCCGAUGAACGCUGUCAAUGUAGAAAAUUUUUAUAUAUUAAAUCAGCCCACGUUGCACAUCAGAUAACUAAUAGAGGAGAGAGAUCUUAUGUAUGAAAUGAAUGUGGAAAAUUUUUCUGCUGUAAGUCAACAGUCUAUACAUCAAAGAACACAGGAGAGAAAUGUGUGUUUAAUAAAUAUGGUAGAACAUUCAUGAUGAAGUCAAACCACAUGAGAGAAUGCACACAAAGGAGAAUCUUUAUGAGUGUAAUGAACAUGAACAUGCCAUCGGCAAAAACCCAACACCUUGUUGAACAUCAGAGAACUAUAUGGGAGAGACCAUAUGAAAGUAACAAAUGUGAGAGAACCUGCUGCCAAAAGGCAGCCCUCACUCACCAUCAGAGAACACACACAGAAGCGGAUCCUGCGAGUGUAGUAUAUGUGGGAAAACCUGCCGGAAGUUCUCCUUCAUUGAACAUUAGCGAAUUCACAUCAUGGAGAAGCUAUGAAUGUAAUGAGUGUGGGAAAUCCUGCCAUCAGUUAGCCUUCAGAGUACAUUGGAGAAGUCACACAAGAGAGAAACCCUUUGAGGGUAUCAAGUGUGGGAAAACCUAACAGUUGUAGACUCACACUGAACAUCAGAAAAUACAUGCGGGAAAAACCAUGUGACUGACAAAUGUGAGAAAACAUGUAUUUUGUCACAAAUCAAACUUCAUCUUAUAUCAGAAAACUCAUAAAGAGUGAAUUCCAAGAAAGCAAUGACCAAAAGAACACAAAUCAAAUAGUUUACACAAGGCUAACCCUACAUAAGCACAGAAGAGUGAAAUCUUAUCAAUUAAUAUGAAAAACUUUUCUGCCAUAAAUCAACCCUCACUCUAAUAGAGAACUCACACAGGAAAAAAAUAAAAGUGUAUUUAAUAAAUGUGGUAUAACAUUCAGUGUGAACUGUGGAAACAUUCAACAUUUCUGACAUGCUAAGUAUGCUUCCUUUUUAAAAUAAUGAGACAAGCAUUAUUUAAAUUAAAUUAAUUGAUUUCUCUUGACAUUGUUACUUGACAGUGUAUGUUGCAAGGUAUGAAGAUCUAACCUCUCUUGGUUCCAAAUCAACACCAAUUUUUCCUGCGAUAAUUGAAUACAAUUUCCCAGUUUUAAAUUCCCAGAUUAGACAGGUUGGUUUUUGUCUUUUAACUGUCUGCACAGUUUAGUAACAGACUCCGAUCCCUUUAUCUGCAGAGGUAGCAUUAAGAGAACUAACCAUGUUACUCCAUCCUCUUCUCACAGUGGGUAUACCCCAGAUGGGCGUUAGAUAAAGCUGAGCUAAUGAAAGCCCUUCCUAAGACCUUUAUAAUGGGAGAGGGACAUAAGUUAGCUAAUGUGUGAUCCUGAAGCUUCCAGCAGCCACGUUAAAAAACAGCAAUUGCAGUAGGGGGAAACAUGCAGAGGUAAGCAUAUUUGAGCAGCAAAGAGAAGUCUGAUAGUGUUUGUCUCCCUGUUAGUAGUUCCUGAUAUCCUGUUCUAUCAGUAGUUUGCUUAUGUCAACUAACAGGCUUUCAAUUUUUUUUUCUAAUCAACAUGUCCAUAGAAGUGUUCUUUAGAAUUCACUUACUAAAUUCUGAGAAAAGAAAAAGGCCUCUGUAAUGCCAAUUAGAAUUACGUUAUAUUUAUAUAUGUAGUAAGUCAGGAUUGCCAUUCAGUUCGUAGGAAAUGUUUUCGCUUCAAAUCCUGAUUUCCAUGAGUGGGACUUUUCCCUAAACCCAUUCCUGGCCUCUGCCACAUUAUACAUUCCACCCCAAGGAAAAUCA